GGCGAGAUAGCUCAGUUGGUAGAGCACACGACUGAAAAUCGUGGUGUCCCGAGUUCGAGUCUCGGUCUCGCCA
rnacentral:tRNA from 2 species